UAGAUAAUUAAAGCAAGGAUAUAUCCCUAAAUUUAGACUGGGAGGUUACGAGUUUGAUUUUGAUUUCUAAACUGUAUCUUGUUUCAUUAAUAAUUUGUAUAUAAAGGGCAAAAACAAAAAAAAAAUGAAAAGGGCAUUUGUUAAAUGCGUUAAUCAUAACUCCUUUCAGGGUAAAAAAGACACCGAGUUAAAAAUUACGAUAUUUUAACACCGAAGAUGUCAAGGUAUUACAGCCCCUGGACAUGGUAGUACAAAGGGAUUAAUCAGUGUGUGUGACACGACCUAUGUAUGCUUAAUUGGUCAACUGAUUGGACUUUAUAAUCUUAAGCGAUCUCAAUUAUCACUUAACAGCAGGGGUGCGAAUCAAUGUGCAAGAAAGAUCAUAUCGAAAAGAGACACUCAAAUUCUAUUUAUUUUAAUAGUAAUUUAUGAAAUUGAUAGCCGAAAAAUAGGUUAUGUUUUAUCUAUUCAAUAUAAUAACAAAAAUUAUCAGAUUUAACAGAUUAACAUAUUUUAAAGGAAAAUUGCUUAGUACUUCUAAAAAAUAGGUUUUUAAAUUUUCAGAUAAAAUUGUUUCUCAGUCUUGAUAAUUUAACGAGCAGAAUACUUGUUUUAUAUUCGCAGUUUUUAUUUUUAUACAAAUCCCCAUUAUUUGAUGCAAACAUAUGUCAAUUUAAAGACUCCGCUCUUUUCAAUUUUAUUCACUUUUUUUAAGUUUCUGUACACAUGUUGUUAUAUAUUUCUUAUUUAUAUUAACCUAUUCUUAAAUGAAUACAAAUCUUAAACAAAAAUAGGAAACAAACAUUUCUUUUUUAUUUAAAUCAUAAUACAUUUAGAUGAAUAAAUAAAAUGAAAAUAAUUGUCAGAAUUUUUUAUUUACACUAAUUUUAGCAUUCUUUUUUAAGAGUUGAACCAGGGACCACCAUCUCAUGAGCACGCAAAGGGAGGGCAUCCAGGUGGAUACCAGCCGGUCCAACAAUCAGAGAAAACACCUUAUGAACAAGGGCAACCACCCUAUUGACAACCAGGACAACCACCCUAUGGUCAACCAGGACAACCACCCUAUGGUCAACCAGGACAACCACCCUAUGGACAACCAGUCUAUCGACAACCAGGACAGCCGCUAUAUUGUCAACCAGGACAACCACCCUAUGGUCAACCAGGACAACCACCCUAUGGCCAACCUCCUUGUGGUCAACUAGGACAGCCUUAUGCAACCCAACAAGUUGACAGUUAAAUCUUCUAGAACUGCAGCUGUGCCCUCUUUACAGCAAUUGUAGAUGAAGCAAAGUAUGAUAGCAAGUUAUAUAGAUAUACACAUAUGCCGAAGAAGAUUGUAAUAUCUGGAGAUAACAUUUCCUACGUCACGAAAUAGACACCGUCACACUGGUCUACGUAACAUUCCUAUAGAUGAUUGAUAUAUUUAAGUGCUUUUAAGAACUGUGUUUGAAUGACGAAUUUCUGUGAAUACGGAUUUUUAGUUUUAAUGAUUAUUAUUAAAACUUUCUGUAAUAAUCAAUUUGUGCUAUGGACUCAUUUUCCUAAAAUAAUAUGUGAAUGUUAACACGAACAAAUGAUAUGAAUAUCUUUAAAAAUUUUUAUGGGUGUAAUACAAGUGGCUCAUUAAAAUCAUUGUUAAGAUAAAUAGAAUCGAACUUCAAGUUGGUAUAGUUUGUUCUAGAUUUAAAACAACAUGCAAUUCAUAAAGGUUACGGCUUGAAAAUAUCGGAACAUGUACAUGUAUAACUCGAUCUCUAAAGACAAUAUCGCAGU